ACUGACAGCCAUGGUUACCGCGGCUGCUGGCACGGAGUUAGCCGGUGCUUCUUCUGUGAGUGAUGUCCUUCCUGCCGGCUAUUAACCCGCAGGCCUUCUUCCUCACUGAAAGUGCUUUACAACCCGAAGGCCUUCUUCACACACGCGGCAUGGCUGGAUCAGGGUUGCCCCCAUUGUCCAAUAUUCCCCACUGCUGCCUCCCGUAGGAGUCUGGGCCGUGUCUCAGUCCCAGUGUGGCUGAUCAUCCUCUCAGACCAGCUACGGAUCGUCGCCUUGGUGAGCCGUUACCUCACCAACCAGCUAAUCCGACAUAGGCUCAUCCGAUAGCGCGAGGCCCGAAGGUCCCCCGNUUUCCCCCGUAGGGCGUAUGCGGUAUUAGCCUGGGUUUCCCCAGGUUAUCCCCCACUACCGGGCAGAUUCCUAUGCAUUACUCACCCGUCCGCCGCUCGCACCAGGGAGCAAGCUCCCCGUGCUGCCGCUCGACUUGCAUGUGUUAGGCCUGCCGCCAGCGUUCAAU
rnacentral:rRNA from 1 species